UACGUAGGUGGCAAGCGUUGUCCGGAUUUAUUGGGUUUAAAGGGUGCGUAGGCGGUCUUUUAAGUCAGUGGUGAAAUACGGCAGCUCAACUGUCGAGGUGCCAUUGAUACUGGGAGACUUGAGUACUGAUGAGGUAGGCGGAAUGGACGGUGUAGCGGAUGAAAUGCUUAGAUAUCGUCCAGAACACCGAUAGCGAAGGCAGCUUACUAAGGAGUAACUGACGCUGAGGCAACGAAAAGUGUGGGGAUCAAACAGG
rnacentral:rRNA from 1 species